GUCUUCUUGCAUUCAUUUUGAUCAGAUCUGAAAGAACCAGUUCAGGCAUUUCAGCUGAACAUUAUGGAAAGAAAUCCCUUCUUAACCGUGCUUUCAACCUGUUAUGAGAAAGUGAGGACUGCAGAUUCUGGAGGUCAGAGUCAAGAGUGUGGUACUGGAAAUGCACAGCAGGUCAGGCAGCAUCCGAGGGGCAGGAACAAGCUUGAUAAAACUUCGGUAGCGAAAACCAAAUAACCUGGGUGAAUUCUAUCAGGAACUGAAGAAGCAAUCCAGCCGCAGCCCAGGGAUUAGGGGCAGAUGGGCUUGCCAAGUAAGCAUUGAAACCUUGGUCUAACAGGCUGACCGCUGUGACCCCUCAUCCCUUGCAGAGGACAC